AGUGAACGCUGGCGGUAGGCCUAACACAUGCAAGUCGAACGGCAGCACAGUAAGAGCUUGCUCUUACGGGUGGCGAGUGGCGGACGGGUGAGGAAUACAUCGGAAUCUACUUUUUCGUGGGGGAUAACGUAGGGAAACUUACGCUAAUACCGCAUACGACCUACGGGUGAAAUCAGGGGAUCUUCGGACCUUGCGCGAUUGAAUGAGCCGAUGUCGGAUUAGCUAGUUGGCGGGGUAAAGGCCCACCAAGGCGACGAUCCGUAGCUGGUCUGAGAGGAUGAUCAGCCACACUGGAACUGAGACACGGUCCAGACUCCUACGGGAGGCAGCAGUGGGGAAUAUUGGACAAGGGGCGCAAGCCUGAUCCAGCCAUACCGCGUGGGUGAAGAAGGCCUUCGGGUUGUAAAGCCCUUUUGUUGGGAAAGAAAAGCAGCAGGUUAAUACCCCGCUGUUCUGACGGUACCCAAAGAAUAAGCACCGGCUAACUUCGUG
rnacentral:rRNA from 1 species